rnacentral:ribozyme from 1 species
CGGGGUCGAGGAAAGCCCACCUUGUCGCGGUGACCCCGCUCGGCUGUCCUUCGGGUCAGCCGCUAAGAGGCUU